rnacentral:lncRNA from 12 species
GUUGGUCACUAGAGGACUAUUGACUGAGCUCUUUUGCUGGCUGGCUCAUCAUUUACUGUAGGAUUUGCUGGCUGGUUCAUCAUUUACUGUGGGAAUUGCGGAUGAGGAACACUGCAAUCCUGCAGUAGUUACCAUGCCUGCCAAGCCAGAGUCUGCUCAUGUCAUACCUGCUACUCCAGAACCUGCUCACAUGCCAGGGUUUGCUCACGUCAUGCCUGCUAUGCCAAGUCCUCACGUUGCAUCUGCCAAGCCAGUGCCUGCUCCCAUCAUGCCCGUUUUCAAGAGAUUUUCCACAACAAGGCUGCUAUUCAAGAGCUUCGUCGCAAAAUGGCUGCCACUCAAGAGUCUCUUCGGAAAAUGGCUGCUCUUACAAGAGCCUCGUCACGCCUCAGCUGAACUUCCAGGGUCCCGCCACGCCUCAGCUGAACUUCCAGGGUCCCGCCACGACAUGGCCGCCAUUCCAGGGUCCCGCCACGACAUGCCUGUCGAGCCACUGCACUCCAGAGACUUUUCCUGUCCACGAGCUCUAUGCCUGUCCUGUCACGACCAGGGAGGCCAUCCACGAACUCACUGCCUGUCCUGUCUCGGCCACGGAGGCCGCCCAUGAACUCACUGCCUGUCCUGUAACGUCCACGGAGGCCGCCCAAGAACUCACUGCCUGUCCUGUCAUGGCCAAGUGGUCUGUCAAUGUCUCUGCUUCACCAUGGCUCCCCGAUGGGCCUGCAUCGCCAUGGCUCCCCGCUAGGCCUGCUCUGCCAUGGCACCAUAAUGCUCAGGAUCUGCUCCAUUGUCUGUCACUGCUCCACGGCCCAGGUCCUCCUCUGCUCCAUGGUCUGUCAUUGCCUCAUGAUCCGGAUCCACCACUGCUCCUAGCUCCAGGCCCGCCAUUGCUCCACCCUCCAGGUCCUGUUCCUUUUCACAUUUUUUUUCCCACAUGUAUUAAUUUAUUUGGAAUGCCAGAAGAACACAUUAUCUGAAUUCAAAUAUCCUUAUGCUAAUUUGCACUGCACUUGGUAGAUUGCAUUGGUCAUUACGGAAAUGAGAUGUUGCAUCUGUGUUCUUUAAUUUGUGCAUUGUCAGUAAAUCACCUGCAGAAAUUUCCAUGCCCAUCUGUGCUGUUUUGGAAUUGCACUCUCACACUAAUUUGCCCUGUUUUGGCCCUAAUUAUUCAAUUAAUUUUUGAAUUGGGCCUAAUUAUUCAAUUCAUUUUUUUUUUUUUAAUUAUAAGAAAAACACA